CCUACGGGUGGCAGCAGUGGGGAAUAUUGCACAAUGGGGGAAACCCUGAUGCAGCGACGCCGCGUGAGUGAAGAAGUAUCUCGGUACGUAAAGCUCUAUCUGCAGGGAAGAAAAUGACGGUACCUGACUCAGAAUCCCCGGCUAACUACGUGCCAGCUGCCGCGGCAAUACGUAGGGGGCAAGCGUUAUCCGGAUUUACUGGGUGUAAAGGGAGCGUAGACGGGAGGACAAGUCUGGAGUGAAAUCCUGGGGCUUAACCCCGGAACUGCUUUGGAAACUGUGCGGCUGGAGUGCAGGAGGGGUAAGCGGAAUUCCUGGUGUAGCGGUGAAAUGCGUAGAUAUUAGGAGGAACACCGGUGGCGAAGGCAGCUUACUGGACUGUAACUGACGUUGAGGCUCGAAAGCGUGGGGAGCAAACAGGAUUAGAUACCCUGGUAGUC
rnacentral:rRNA from 1 species